GUCACGCGUGGGAAUCUACACCUCUGUCCCGAGUAUCGCAUGCAUACGUGUGCUAAUACCGUAUACGUCCUUCCGGAGAACAAUUUAUCGGAGAUGGAUGAGCCCGCGUUGGAUUAGCUAGUUGGUGGGGUAAAGGCCUACCAAGGCGACGAUCCAUAGCUGGUGUGACAGGAUGAUCACCCACACUGGGACUGACAGGAGCACCUCACUUAACGGGAGGCAGCAGUGGGGAAUAUUGGACAAUGGGCGCAAGCCUGAUCCAGCCAUGCCGCGUGAGUGAUGAAGGCCCUAGGGUUGUAAAGCUCUUUCACCGGUGAAGAUAAUGACGGUAACCGGAGAAGAAGCCCCGGCUAACUUCGUGCCAGCAGCCGCGGUAAUACGAAGGGGGCUAGCGUUGUUCGGAUUUACUGGGCGUAAAGCGCACGUAGGCGGACUAUUAAGUCAGGGGUGAAAUCCCGGGGCUCAACCCCGGAACUGCCUUUGAUACUGGUAGUCUUGAGUUCGAGAGAGGUGAGUGGAAUUCCGAGUGUAGAGGUGAAAUUCGUAGA
rnacentral:rRNA from 1 species